CUAGCUGUAAUGGGGAGAGUUUCUGCAGGUGUGAGGGUUGUAAUCAGAAAAGCUUGAAGUCUGCUGAACCAGGGGAUGUUUAGCUCUGUGCCCAACUAUUUUUAGCGGGACAAACUUCCUUUCUAAGUGUAUCACUCUCGAGAAACAAGGAACAAGAAAUAGAAGGUCUGUUACCUGAGAGUGUUACAGAGUGAGGGCAGAGUGGACGCACAGCAAGCCUCAUUAGCUAGGUCUUACCGGGAAGCCUGGCCCUGUGUGGGCAGCGGUUUCCUAGGACAAGAAAGUGUAGGGAUUUUUGUGCCGUGGCUUGUUUCGGGAAACAGGUGAAGCUCAACAUGGCCAACAAAGUGAAUUUAAGCCAGAUGUCUUUCACGUGCGUCUAGGCAGAUAGGUACAUAAGAUUAGAUUCCCUUUUUACCAUGAAAGUGUCUUACCAUGCACAGCCAUUUGUAACAUUUAAAAAUAAUUUUUUUGUGGUCUAAAGGCCAAAAUGAAUUAAUCCCAGAAGACUAUCGGGGCCUGCCUUUUACAAAUGAGGUGACUCACACAGAGUGUAAGUCACUUGCAAAAGGUCACACAAAGAAUAAAUGGUGGCUCAGAUUGAAUGGUAGAUGUCCGUGGCUUUACUACAUCCCUGGUAUGCAGCCCUACACUGUUCUUUCAAGAAGCACAUAAUCUAGCUUAAUCUUCUAAACUACAGACCUCUUGAGACAGCUGACAACCCUCACCCUUCCCAGUCACGUGGCACUGAACUGUUUCUACACAACCUACAGGGCAGAGAAUAGUGUAGAAGAUCUUAGUAAAGGCUCAUGUUACUCCACUGAAGGAGACAGACAGACUCCAGACAGGACAGUAGAGGAUCUGAGGAGUAUGUUUCAGUGGGAGACAGGCUGAUGGGAUAUAUUGCACAAAAGUGAUAAGAAACACUGACAGUUUGCAAUUUUUUAACCCCUUUUCUUGUUUCCUUCCUGCCUGUACUGACAAUACCAUUCUCAAAGUUGAUGUGUAAACCAAACCAACAAACAAAGGAAAUAAACACAAAACCAAACCAACAUGGGUAGGAGAGAGAUUCCCGUUUUACCUGGGGAGUAUGUGGCCAUAAGAGCAUCAUGCUAUGACAUGGUCUUGUUAUGUAGUUCAGGCUGGCCUUAAAUUCACAGCAGUAAUGCCUCAUCCUCCAAGCGCUGGAAUUACGGUUGUGAGCUGCCAUGCGUGACUGGUCAGUAUUUUUAAAGUUUUUUUUUUUAUUUUAAAGAGAUUAAGACAAAAGAGGAAACAAAGCACAUCAGAAAAGAAUGAUGUAAGCCACACAAUACUUCAACACAAUACAACUGCAUAUCAACAGUAGCCACCAUAAUGUCUCUUUCUUUGAAGUAGUUGAGCAUACCUUCACAUACAAUAGUAUCAAACAUAACAAAACAGUCUAAAACCAUUCAAGAGAAUGAAAGUAUUACAAGGCAUUCAGAAACAAAUAAUCAAAAAUGAACAAUGGCCAAGAUAUUAUCUCAUUUUACAUAGAAAAUUUGUUUAUACUAUUACAAAUAUUAAAAUCUAAUAAGAUACAACAUGAUAGAACUAAUGGAAACAGAAGAAUAGAAGCAUGGUAGGACUUCAAAGCAAGGUGAUAUUAAAUCAGCCCUGGCUAUUAUAAUGUCUUGUUUUCUUCAAAAUAGCUGUUCAUACCAUCACAGAUAAUAAAAUCAAACAAACCAGUAUAAAACCAUUCCAACUAAGGAAUGGAAGCAUUAUAAGUCUUCAAAGCAGUGCAAUGGGGAAUCAUGAUUCCCAUAAAAUCUUACAUACUCUUACCAUUUCUUAUACUAGGGAAACUGUAUGGUAUUUGUACACGUGAGUUGGAUUUAUUUCCCUCAUGAGUAUGGUCUCCACUUGUGUCCAUUUAUUUAUAAAUAUCUCAAUGUGAUCAUUCUUUAUAGCUGAGUAGUAUUCCAUUGUAUGAAAGUACCACAUCUUUUUUAUCCAUUUCUCAGUUGAUUGACACUUAGGUUGUUUCCAAGAUCUGGCUAUUACAAAUAGUGCUGCUAUAAACAUGGGUGCACAUAUAUCAUUGUGGUAUGAUGUUUUCAGUUUUUCUGGGAAUAUGCCUAGAAGUGGAAUAGUUGGAGCAAAUGGGACUUCCAAUGCUAACUUUUUGAGAAAUCUCCAGACUGACCUUCACAGUGGUUGCACCAGUCUACACUACCACCAACAGUGCAGGAGAGUUCCUUUUUCCCCACAGCCUCUCCAGCAUUUGUUGUUGUUGGUUUUCUUGAUCCUGGCCAUUCUUUCUGGAGUGAGAUGGAAUCUCAGUGUGGUUUUAAUUUGCAUUUCUCUAAUGAAUAAUGAUGAUGAACAGUUUUUCAUGUAUUUAUUUGCCAUUUGUAUUUCUUCAUCUGAGAACUGUGUAUUCAUCUCAGAUGCCCAUUUUUAGAUUGGGUGUUUGAAUUUCACGGGUCUAAUUUUAAAAAAUUUUUUUAAUGUUUUAGACAGAAGUCCUUUGUCUGAGGGACAGUUUACUAAGCGUUUUUUCCCCCCAGUUUUUGGAUUUUCUUUUCACUAUGCCGGAGAUUACUUUUGACAUGCAGAAACUCUUUAAUAAGACACGAAGUGAUCCCAGUUAUUCAUUCUGGGAACAAUUUCCUGUGCGGUUUGAUUCCUGUUCGUGAGCUCUCUCCCCAUCCCUAUGUCUUUAAGACUUUUGCUUAAUUUUUCUUCCAACAGAUUUAGUAUUUCUGUUUUAAUAUUCAGAUCUUUGAUCCCUUUAGAUUUUAGUUUAGUAAAUGGUGCUAGGCAUGGGUUUAUUUUUAGUUUUCAGUAUAUGGAGAGCCAGUUUUAUCAGCAACAUUUAUUAAAGAGAUUGUCCUUCUUCCUGAGAAUAUGUUUGGCUCCUUUAUCAAAAGGUGGUUGAGUGUGUUCGUAGUUGUGGUUGUAUCAUGUAAUCUAUUCCAAUGAUCUUCAUAUCUGCUUUUAUUCCAGUAUUAUAUUGAUUGUAUUAUAGUAGCUCUGUAGUACUUCAAUAUCAGGAAUUUUGAUGUCCCCUGCCUUACCUUUGCUGCUUAGAAUUGUCUUUGUUAUUCUAGGUCUCUUCUGGUUCCAGAUGAAUUUUAUUUUAUUUUAUUUUUUAAAUUUUAUUUAAGAGGAAAAAGAGAAAAACACAAAACAAAACAAAGCGGUAUAAGGGUACACGUAAUACAGAACUACAAAAAAAAAAAAAAACCAAAA